UACGUAGGGGGCAAGCGUUGUCCGGAAUCAUUGGGCGUAAAGAGCGUGUAGGCGGUCCGGUAAGUCGGCUGUGAAAGUCCAGGGCUCAACCCUGGGAUGCCGGUCGAUACUGCCGGACUAGAGUUCGGAAGAGGCGAGUGGAAUUCUCGGUGUAGCGGUGAAAUGCGCAGAUAUCGGGAGGAACACCUAUGGCGAAGGCAGCUCGCUGGGACGUUACUGACGCUGAGACGCGAAAGCGUGGGGAGCAAACAGG
rnacentral:rRNA from 1 species